AGGGUUUGAUCCUGGCUCAGAACGAACGCUGGCGGCGUGGAUUAGGCAUGCAAGUCAAGCGAGAAACUCUUCUUCGGGAGAGGAGUAAAGCGGCGAAAGGGUGAGUAAUGCAUGGAUAACCUAUCCUCGAGACGGGAGCAACAGCCGGAAACGGCUGCUAAUGCCCGAUGGUGACAUUGGAUCUUCGGGUUCAGUGUCUAAAGAUUGCCUCUGUUUACAAGCUUUUGCUCGGGGAGGGGUUCAUGUCCUAUCAGCUAGUUGGUGGGGUAAUGGCUCACCAAGGCGAUGACGGGUAGCUGGCCUGAGAGGGUGGUCAGCCACACUGGGACUGAGACACUGCCCAGACUCCUACGGGAGGCUGCAGUCGAGGAUCUUCCGCAAUGGGCGAAAGCCUGACGGAGCGACGCCGCGUGCGGGAUGAAGGCCUUCGGGUUGUAAACCGCUGUCAGGGGGUAUGAAACGCAAACGGUGAAUAGCCGUUUGUUUGACGUCAACCUCAGAGGAAGCACUGGCUAACUCCGUGCCAGCAGCCGCGGUAAUACGGAGAGUGCUAGCGUUGUUCGGAAUUACUGGGCUUAAAGAGCACGUAGGCGGGUAUGUAAGUCAGGGGUGAAAUCCCUCGGCUCAACCGAGGAAUUGCUUUUGAUACUGUAUGCCUAGAGGGCAGGAGGGGAGAGUGGAAUUCCUGGUGGAGCGGUGAAAUGCGUAGAUAUCAGGAGGAACGCCGGUGGCGAAAGCGACUCUCUGGUCUGUUCCUGACGCUGAGGUGCGAAAGCUAGGGGAGCAAACGGGAUUAGAUACCCCGGUAGUCCUAGCCGUAAACGAUGGGCACUAAGUAGAGGAGGUUGCUACACCUUCCCUGCUGGAGCAAAAGUGUUAAGUGCCCCGCCUGGGUAGUACGGCCGCAAGGUUGAAACUCAAAGGAAUUGACGGGGGCUCACACAAGCGGUGGAGGAUGUUGUUUAAUUCGAAGCAACGCGAAGAACCUUACCUGGGCUUGACAUGCAGGGAUAACCUCGAUGAAAGUCGAGGGAUUGCCUUCGGGUGUAACCUGCACAGGUGUUGCAUGGCUGUCGUCAGCUCGUGUCGUGAGAUGUUGGGUUAAGUCCCGUAACGAGCGAAACCCCUGUCGUUAGUUGCCAACAGGUAAUGCUGGGGACUCUAACGAGACUGCCGGUGUUAAACCGGAGGAAGGCGGGGAUGACGUCAAGUCAUCAUGGCCCUUACGCCCAGGGCUACAAACGUCCUACAAUGGUCGGUACAGAAAGAAGCAAAACCGUGAGGUGGAGCAAAUCUCUAAAGCCGACCUCAGUUCGGAUUGGAGUCUGCAACUCGACUCCAUGAAGUCGGAAUCGCUAGUAACCGCGCGUCAGCUAUGGCGCGGUGAAUAUGUUCCUGAGCCUUGUACACACCGCCCGUCAAGCCACGAGAGCAGGGAGUACCCGAAGCCCGUGACCCAACCCGCAAGGGAGGGAGCGGUCGAAGGUAAGACCUGUGAUUGGGACUAAGUCGUAACAAGGUA
rnacentral:rRNA from 1 species